UACGAAGGGGGGCUAGCGUUGUUCGGAUUUACUGGGCGUAAAGCGCACGUAGGCGGAUCGAUCAGUCAGGGGUGAAAUCCCAGAGCUCAACUCUGGAACUGCCUUUGAUACUGUCGAUCUGGAGUAUGGAAGAGGUGAGUGGAAUUCCGAGUGUAGAGGUGAAAAUUCGUAGAUAUUCGGAGGAACACCAGUGGCGAAGGCGGCUCACUGGUCCAUUACUGACGCUGAGGUGCGAAAGCGUGGGGAGCAAACAGG
rnacentral:rRNA from 1 species